rnacentral:rRNA from 1 species
GACGAAGGGGGCUAGCGUUGUUCGGAAUUACUGGGCGUAAAGCGCGUGUAGGCGGUUGCCCAAGUCGGGUGUGAAAGCCUUGAGCUCAACUCAAGAAAUGCACUCGGUACUGGGUGACUAGAGGACCGGAGAGGAUAGUGGAAUUCCCAGUGUAGUGGUGAAAUACGUAGAGAUUGGGAAGAACACCAGUGGCGAAGGCGGCUCACUGGUCCGGGUACUGACGCUGAGGUGCGAAAGCGUGGGGAGCAAACAGG